AGGCUUAACACAUGCAAGUCGAGGGGUAGCAGGGAGCUUGCUCCGCUGACGACCGGCGAACGGGUGCGUAACGCGUAUAGAAUCUACCUCUUACUAAGGGAUAGCCCAGAGAAAUUUGGAUUAAUAUCUUAUAGUAUGUUAACUUGGCAUCAAGAUAACAUUAAAGGUUACGGUAAGAGAUGACUAUGCGUCCUAUUAGCUAGAUGGUGUGGUAACGGCACACCAUGGCAACGAUAGGUAGGGGCCCUGAGAGGGGGAUCCCCCACACUGGUACUGAGACACGGACCAGACUCCUACGGGAGGCAGCAGUGAGGAAUAUUGGACAAUGGAGGCAACUCUGAUCCAGCCAUGCCGCGUGCAGGAAGACUGCCCUAUGGGUUGUAAACUGCUUUUAUACAGGAAGAAACACUCUCACGUGUGAGAGCUUGACGGUACUGUAAGAAUAAGGAUCGGCUAACUCCGUGCCAGCAGCCGCGGUAAUACGGAGGAUCCAAGCCGUUAUCCGGAAUCAUUGGGUUUAAAGGGUCCCGUAGGUGGAUAAUUAAGUCAGAGGUGAAAUCCUGCAGCUCAACUGUAGAAUUGCCUUUGAUACUGGUU
rnacentral:rRNA from 2 species